CGCGUAGGCGGGAGAUUAAGUCAGUGGUGAAAUCCUGCAGCUUAACUGUAGAACUGCCAUUGAUACUGGUUUCCUUGAGUAUAGUUGAAGUGGGCGGAAUGUGUAUUGUAGCGGUGAAAUGCUUAGAUAUUACACAGAACACCUAUUGCGAAGGCAGCUCACUAAACUAAUACUGACGCUGAGGCACGAAAGCGUGGGGAGCAAACAGGAUUAGAUACCCUGGUAGUCC
rnacentral:rRNA from 1 species